rnacentral:rRNA from 1 species
UACGAAGGGGGCUAGCGUUGCUCGGAAUCACUGGGCGUAAAGCGCACGGUAGGCGGUUCUUAAGUCGGUGGUGAAAUACCUGGGACUCAACUCCAGAACUGCCUCCGAUACUGAGAGCCUCGAGUCCGGGAGAGGUGAGUGGAACUGCGAGUGUAGAGGUGAAAUUCGUAGAUAUUCGCAAGAACACCAGUGGCGAAAGGCGGCUCACUGGCCCGGUACUGACGCUGAGGUGCGAAAGCGUGGGAGCAAACAGG